GACCGGGAUGGACGUACCGCUGGUGUACCAGUUGUCUCGCCAGAGGCACGGCUGGAUAGCCAAGUACGGAAGGGAUAAGCGCUGAAAGCAUCUAAGCGUGAAGCCCCCCUCAAGAUGAGAUUUCCCAGUAUGUAAGACCCCUUGUAGACGACGAGGUAGAUAGGUUCGGGGUGGAAGCGCGGUAACGUGUGCAGCUGACGAAUACUAAUCGGUCGAGGGCUUAACCAAACAUCCC
rnacentral:rRNA from 1 species